CCUACGGGAGGCAGCAGUGAGGAAUAUUGGUCAAUGGCCGGAAGGCUGAACCAGCCAAGCCGCGUGAAGGACGAAGGUGCCAAGCAUUGUAAACUUCUUUUGUCAAGGGACAAAAUCAGGCUCGAGAGCCUGACCGAGGGGACUUGAAGAAAAAGCAUCGGGUAACUCCGUGCCAGCAGCCGCGGUAAUAAGGAGGAUGCGAGCUUUAUCCGGAUUUGUGGGGUUAAAGGGGUGCGUCGGCGGGCUGGUAAGUCAGCGGUAAAAGCCCGGGGCUCAACCCCGGCGAGCCGUUGAAACUGGCUGUCUUGAGAUGUCGAGCGGUAUGCGGAAUGCGCAGUGUAGCGGUGAAAUGCUUAGAUAUUGCGCAGAACUCCGAUUGCGAAGGCAGCAUACCGGCGGCGAUCUGACGCUGAGGCACGAAAGCGUGGGUAUCGAACAGGAUUAGAUACCCUGGUAGUC
rnacentral:rRNA from 1 species